rnacentral:piRNA from 1 species
CUCUCAAGCCGGAGUCCCCUCUCAGC